rnacentral:rRNA from 1 species
UGGGGAAUUUUGGUCAAUGGGGGAAACCCUGAUCCAGCCAUCCCGCGUGUGCGAUGAAGGCCUUCGGGUUGUAAAGCACUUUUGGCAGGAAAGAAACGUCAUGGGUUAAUACCCCGUGAAACUGACGGUACCUGCAGAAUAAGCACCGGCUAACUACGUGCCAGCAGCCGCGGUAAUACGUAGGGUGCAAGCGUUAAUCGGAAUUACUGGGCGUAAAGCGUGCGCAGGCGGUUCGGAAAGAAAGAUGUGAAAUCCCAGAGCUCAACUUUGGAACUGCAUUUUUAACUACCGGGCUAGAGUGUGUGAGAGGGAGGUGGAAUUCCGCGUGUAGCAGUGAAAUGCGUAGAUAUGCGGAGGAACACCGAUGGCGAAGGCAGCCUCCUGGGACAACACUGACGCUCAUGCACGAAAGCGUGGGGAGCAAACAGG